UGUUAUGCCACUUAUAUAAAAGCGAAAAUGUAAUUUUUCCAAACCAGUAACUGCAAAAAUAUUUGCUUGAUAGACUUUCCCGUGGGUGUACAGAGUACGAGGUUAUAGCACAGUUAACCGUUUACCCAUUAUACUUGUAUAGUCCAGUUUUACAAGCAAGCCUAUCUCCGACCAGAUAAAAUGCCGUCGACAGGCAAUGUCACUUAUGCAGACGGGAAGGUGUGGUGGACCUGUCCAUUGUGCAACAAUCGCACAUGGGUGCAUACCUACUACGACAAAUAUGUAGGACGACCGUGUCUCAACUGCCAGCCUCCCACUCUGAUGGAGCUGCCCGGGGCGGUAUGGACAACUCUUUUCGGCUGGCUAUUCUAAUAACAUCGUGGUUUGUCAGCUGUUUGGCAAAGCUACUGCUAUAAACUAACUUUAUCUGAUAUGGCGAUUAGCGUUGUACUGGGUCGCACUGCGGCACGUUUGUAUGCGAAUAACCUUUACGUUUUAUGCUGCUUAUAACCUUGCAGUUCCAGUAAUUUUUGAUAUUAUUCUAUUCAGCUUCUGCUUAAUGAUUUCAUAAUGGGCAGCAUUAAUGUGGAAUUCUGAAGAGUUGCUUUAAAAUUAAAGUUGUAACACUGUCGAAAA